rnacentral:tRNA from 1 species
GGGGAUAUAACUCAGUUGGUAGAGUGUUUGCUUCAUAUGCACAACGUCCUGGGUUCAAUCCCCAGGACCACCA